rnacentral:rRNA from 1 species
UACGGAGGGUGCGAGCGUUGUCCGGAAUCACUGGGCGUAAAGGGCGCGUAGGUGGCGCGGGCAGUCAACGGUGAAAGUUCGGGGCUCAACCCUGAAACGGCCGUCGAUACUCCCGUGCUUGAGCACUGUAGAGGCAGAUGGAAUUCCGGGUGUAGCGGUGGAAUGCGUAGAGAUCCGGAAGAACACCGGUGGCGAAGGCGGUCUGCUGGGCAGUUGCUGACACUGAGGCGCGACAGCGUGGGGAGCAAACAGG